UGUAUGUAUUGAUAUUCGAGGGUCACUUGAUCGAGUAUGUUUGUUGACGGGAGUUCGUAUGUGAGCUUCUCGGGAUCCCUCAGGCUUUGUAUUCAUUUUGUUGCAUGCUUUGUGAGCGAGAUGAGUGACUUUCUCUUAGGAGCUCUGGGUUAUUGUCCGUUCCAUCAUUAUGUUCGUAGUUGAUGUGACUUCACUCCAUGUCUGAUCUGAGUUGAUCAUCACUCCUUUUGAUGUUAUUCGCUUCAUUAUCAUCGUCCUCGUUUUCGCUUCUGAUUCAUCAUUCUCACUUCACCUCUUAUUCUUUUCUUACCACGACCCAUCUCGGGUUUGAUAUUCCCUUCGUAUCACCAUUACAUAUCUCAUUAUCAGUUUGAUUUGCUUCACUUGUCUCCUCAUUGACACUAUGUUCACAUUAGGCACCAUUAGGUCCAUGGCUCACAGGAUUUACUAUACUUGUUGCAUUUCAUACAUGAGGGCAUGGGUUUUGAUCAUCGGGUAUUUGAGCUUAGUUUCCCUUCGUUUCUAUCACCCUAUCACCCUAGCCUACAUUACGUCC
rnacentral:lncRNA from 1 species